rnacentral:snoRNA from 1 species
GCAAGGCCUCGUAGUCCCCCGGCGUUCACGUCACCGGGAGCAUCCAAGGACCAGUGAUUCCUUGCUAUAGCAGCAUUCCACUCAUCUGGCACGCUGGCCGCCCUAUCCUUAGCCGGGCAACGCUGGUGACUGAGAUGGGGAGACACGC